rnacentral:lncRNA from 1 species
ACCAUCAAUUAUAACCCUAUAUUAGAAAAUUUUAGGAAGUUGACAAAUGAACUUGAGUAGUUUGUGAUAAAAGUCAAACCAUGUCAGAUUAGUUUGGACUAAUAAUGCAAAAUAAAAUAUGACAAAGUUACCGAGGUCUAAUAAUCUUAGGUAAGGUCAACUGAAUCAACCAAGGACCCAAGUACCAGUCAACGUUGAUCCUUCCUGAUCAUAUAGAACCAACUAAUGAAGGACCAAAAUUUGUGACAUUCCUUAGUACCCAAUUUUGGGCAAACCAAGUUAAAACAAGGGGUGUACCACUCUAUAUCAACCAGUACCUAGCUAUGCAGACCAGCCAGCAUGUGCUAGUAUUGGUAGGUAUCAGGUGGUACCUAGUCAGAAAGUCUUCCAUGCUUUUUUGUUUUCUUCCCAAUUCACAUACUUCCAAUUCAUUUCGAGGAGCAGAACAAGAGUGAGGGACUUUCGCUUUCUAGUGGAUUCAAUGAAGUUUUGGUCCGAUUGACACCUAGAAAUACAAUUACCUAAGGUAAGAAACUCUCUACACUCCCCUUUUUUCUUUUGAAUUUUCCAAUAUAAAAAAAGAUCAAAUAACACCAACCAAUCCAGAGAGGGAAAAAGUGAAAUUUUGUCCGUUCAGGUUUAUUUUCAGAUAUUUUGUAGUUUGGGCAUCAACCUACAUCUCUGCAUAUUUGUUUAUUUAAUGUGUUUCCUGUUUUUAAAUUGAUUUUUUGUAAAAUAAUUACUUAAGAUAAAAAUAAGUUAUUUCUAGAAAAAAAUGGUGAUAUUUUUGCACUAUGGAUGUGCACAUACUACCAUAAUAUUGUUCCCAUGUUGGGAUGAGCUGAAAAUACUGCUAUACAUGUUUGCAUGUUUUCUUGUUCACCUAACAAUUAAAUUAUAAAUAAGUCAUUGAAGCUUACAUGUAAAUAUUUGCAGUUUUCACUUUUCAAUAGAACCCUAUGGCUCCCAAUGCUUUAGUUUUCACUUAAAAAAUGCAUAUUGUUCAAACUAAUCAAUUUUUCCUUCUUUAGUUUAUGAGAACAAGUUUAUUGCAUAUUUUGGCCCUAAACUAACCCUACCUAAUAAAAUUUGUAAAACACAAGGGUGACAAAAAAAAAGCAAGAAAAAUAAAUGAAGCCUCUUGCUCUGCCAGCACCAAUUACCAUCUUAGAAUGGAAUGUACAGAACCAUAAAGGACCAACACCUGAGUAAUACUGACAUCAGUACCAAUAUUUCAACCUUGGCAUCGACCAUGCAGGUCAAACUUUGAGUUGGCUCUUAUUAUUACAUGUUGACUAUGAUUCUAGUUAUGUAUGCAACUGAUCCACUUGCAACCGUAAGAUCACACCAGUUCUAAUCUUUUAGUGUUCAGGUGAUUUUCUCAGAUAAUGCAUAUGAUAUCAUCCAUUAUAUAGCUUUCAAAUUGAGCUACCACACUAGAACUCAUGUGGACCAACGUGGAAUCAAUGAAGUGAAAUUUGCUUCAUUUCCUCGAUCAACGGAGGAUCAACAGAAUAUCGCAGACCAUCUCAAGCUAACUCCUAGCCUGAUCAGCACUGGGAUUCGGACUAUGCAGCAUUAAUCAAUCUCUUACAAUAGCAUCUUGUAGCUUGGCAACCCAAUGCAACCUGCUGGAGGGUCAUAAGUUGAUAGAUAGACCAG